rnacentral:rRNA from 1 species
GUGGGGAAUCUUCCACAAUGGACGAAAGUCUGAUGGAGCAACGCCGCGUGAGUGAAGAAGGGUUUCGGCUCGUAAAGCUCUGUUGUCGGGGACGAAUGUGCAGUAUUUGAAUAAAGUACUGCAAUGACGGUACCUGACGAGGAAGCCACGGCUAACUACGUGCCAGCAGCCGCGGUAAUACGUAGGUGGCAAGCGUUGUCCGGAAUUAUUGGGCGUAAAGGGAGCGCAGGCGGGAAGGUAAGUCGGUCUUAAAAGUGCGGGGCUCAACCCCGUGAUGGGCUCGAAACUAUCUUUCUUGAGUGCAGGAGAGGAAAGUGGAAUUCCUAGUGUAGCGGUGAAAUGCGUAGAUAUUAGGAGGAACACCAGUGGCGAAGGCGACUUUCUGGACUGUAACUGACGCUGAGGCUCGAAAGCCAGGGGAGCGAACGGGAUUAGAAACCCGUGUAGUCC